CCUAUUACUCAUAACCAAGAUUUCUAUCUUUUUCUACUUUGUAACACUUCGUAUAUCUCUCCUUACAAAACUUCUAGCAUAAUUUGUCAAUUACAGUUGCUCUUCAAAAAAUUCAUAUACUUCUUCCAAUCUUCUGUCAAUCUCUGGUCUUGCAGCUUCGAAUCCUUCCUGUCCUUUUGUCCAAUUCUGCAGAGUCCAUAAAUUUUGUCUGCCAUUCUUCUUUCGUUGGAAUUUCAUCUUGUUUCCAUUUCUGGGCUCACAAUACUCUUGCCGCAGUUGUUGCAUAGAAAAACAAUUUGACAUCUUGCCUAUUAAUGUCCUGACCAAGUAAAAUGCUUCUGGUUGUUUUUUGUUGUUUUUUUAAAUUGAAAAGCCUAAUAGUAAUGAAAGGAAUGAGGAUUUGUCUGGAAAACGGGCUGAAGCAUCUUUGUGAGUGGCAUUCAAAGCCGCCUUGGAACAUCCCCAGAGAAACAAGGAGGAGGCAGGCUUUUUCUGUCCAUUUCCUGUCCAUUUUGCUCGCCUGCCAGCUGGAUGGGAAGCGUCAAAACGCUUCCCUCCAGCUCUGCCACCCAGUGAUUUUACCCCCAGGACUCAGGAUCAUCCAGAGAGGUAAAUAAUGUGAUUUAUUUCGUUUGCUGGAGAGGUAAAUAAUGUGAUUUAUUUCGUUUGCCGGAGAGGUAAAUAAUGUGAUUUAUUUCGUUUGCCGGAGAGGUAAAUAAUGUGAUUUAUUUCGUUUUCCAAAGUUUGCAUGCUUUAAUCAUCGUCAUCCUUGAACAAGAAUAACAGCCAUCAAGAUUACAUUGAAUUGAUCCACUGACUCCCUGGCAAUUUGCGCCGAAAUUAUUCCACACACACCCCUUACAAAUCGGGGAAAAUUCAGUUGAAAAUGCAACUUCUCUGGGCUUCUCCAGUCUCACAAUAUGUUGCAUUUUCAGAUGAAUUUUGGGGGGACCACUUCAAACAUCCGCUGUGCUUUGGAGCGGUUUGCUCCUUGCAAACAGCCGAAAGUUUCUAAAUUUUGAGGAGAAGCCUGAUUUGCAAGGGGUGGGUGGGUGGAAUAAUUUGAUGUCAACUAUGUGUUAUUUAUUGGCUUUAUAUACUGCUCAAGGCAGCUCGCCAAAGAAAACCAGAACACAAAACCCACAAAAUACAUAAUAAGACAAACCUAGAAUCUCCCCCACCAAAAAGACCACACCCUAAAUAGUUAUCUGUAACAUCUUUCUGCUUUUUGCUAUUCCAAAUCCGCCUCGCGUUUUCCUGCCCUUACAGCCACGCUAGAGAUCUAUGAGACGGAGAAAUAUCAACCAAUAAGAGAAUAAACUGAUAUGAUGACCAAAAUUAGGGACCCAGAGGAGCGGAAACCCUUUUGCAAAGCAUUUGAAAGAAAUAUAUAAUAGUCGGGG